GACGUAGGGCGCGAGCGUUGUCCGGAUUUAUUGGGCGUAAAGAGCUCGUAGGCGGCUUGUCGCGUCGGCUGUGAAAUCCCGUGGCCCAACUGCGGGUCUGCAGCCGAUACGGGCAGGCUAGAGUUCGGUAGGGGAGACUGGAAUUCCUGGUGUAGCGGUGAAAUGCGCAGAUAUCAGGAGGAAGACCGAUGGCGAAGGCAGGUCUCUGGGCCGAUACUGACGCUGAGGAGCGAAAGCGUGGGGAGCGAACAGG
rnacentral:rRNA from 1 species